rnacentral:lncRNA from 1 species
GUCCUACACACCUCACAGGGCCACUGGGAGGGACAAAUGACACAUUCUGUGUGAAAGCGCCUCACAAAGGGAAAGCAUGUUCUCAUCACCCCUUUAUUCAAAUCCGCAUGGCGGGCCUCCCUGGGCCGGCCUCCGCUCCCUGCUAUGGAAUCACAGUAGUGAGCAGACGGACAAAGGCGGUGACCUCUGGGCAUGUGGCUAGCAGGAGACACAGACAACACAGAGAGAGAAAAAAAUACGUUCGGCGGUGCCAAGAGGUAUGAGGAGAAGCAGACCAGGGAAAGUUGCGAAGUUGGUACAGCAAGUUCCCACAUACUGCACGCCCCAUUAGGUGCCGAGUCUUCAGGGAGCAAUACUUACGUACACCGAUAACUCAAAGGUUGUGCAUGCUGUGAACGCUCAUGCAAUGUGCUGUUGGAACAGAGGAGAGGGGGAAACUCAUUCUAACUCCUUAUUAGUGAAGGCUUCAGGGGGGUGCAGCAUUUGAACCGAGCCUUGAAGGACAGGGAUGGAGACGCAGGAUAGGCUUCUGGGCAGGGGAACUGUCAGAGCACAAGCUGGAGACAGGAAAGGACAAGGCACUUCAGGAAACGAUGAAG